GAUGAACGCUAGCGAUAGGCCUAACACAUGCAAGUCGAGGGGCAUCACAUGAAGUAGCAAUACGGAUGGUGGCGACCGGCGCACGGGUGAGUAACACGUAUGCAACCUGCCUUCAACAAGGGGAUAACCCGUUGAAAGACGGACUAAUACCCUAUAACACAGGGGUCCCGCAUGGGAAUAUUUGUUAAAGGACAACCGGUUGAAGAUGGGCAUGCGUUCCAUUAGCUAGUUGGCGGGGUAACGGCUCACCAAGGCAACGAUCAGUAGCCGACCUGAGAGGGUGAUCGGCCACACUGGAACUGAGACACGGACCAGACUCCUACGGGAGGCAGCAGUGAGGAAUAUUGGUCAAUGGGCGAGAGCCUGAACCAGCCAAGUCGCGUGCAGGAAGAAUGUCCUAUGGAUUGUAAACUGCUUUUGCAGGGGAAUAAAGUGAGCCACGUGUGGUUUUUUGUAUGUACUCUGCGAAUAAGGAUCGGCUAACUCCGUGCC
rnacentral:rRNA from 1 species